rnacentral:rRNA from 1 species
CAGUAGCCGCGGUAAAACGUAGGGGGCAAGCGUUAUCCGGAAUAACUGGGCGUAAAGGGUGCGCAGGUGGUUUAACAAGUUAGUGGUGAAAGGCAUAGGCUCAACCAAUGUAAGCCAUUAAAACUGUUUAACUUGAGUGCAGGAGAGGAAAGUGGAAUUCCUAGUGUAGCGGUGAAAUGCGUAGAUAUUAGGAGGAAUACCAGUGGCGAAGGCGACUUUCUGGACUGCAGCUGACACUGAGGCACGAAAGCGUGGGGAGCAAACAGGAUUAGAUACCCCAGUAGUCCCUGUCUCUUAUACA